AAGUCGAACGAACGGAGGAAGAGCUUGCUCUUCCAAAGUUAGUGGCGGACGGGUGAGUAACACGUGGGCAACCUGCCUGUAAGUUGGGGAUAACUCCGGGAAACCGGGGCUAAUACCGAAUGAUAAAGUGUGGCGCAUGCCACGCUUUUGAAAGAUGGUUUCGGCUAUCGCUUACAGAUGGGCCCGCGGUGCAUUAGCUAGUUGGUAGGGUAAUGGCCUACCAAGGCAACGAUGCAUAGCCGACCUGAGAGGG
rnacentral:rRNA from 1 species